UACGUAGGGGGCAAGCGUUGUCCGGAAUCAUUGGGCGUAAAGAGCGUGUAGGUGGCUCGGUAAGUCCGCUGUAAAAGUCCAGGGCUCAACCCUGGAAAGCCGGUGGAAACUGUCGAGCUAGAGUCCGGAAGAGGCGAGUGGAAUUCCUGGUGUAGCGGUGAAAUGCGCAGUUAUCAGGAGGAACACCAAUGGCGAAGGCAGCUCGCUGGGACGGUACUGACACUGAGACGCGAAAGCGUGGGGAGCAAACAGG
rnacentral:rRNA from 1 species